rnacentral:rRNA from 1 species
UACGAAGGGGGCUAGCGUUGCUCGGAAUCACUGGGCGUAAAGGGUGCGUAGGCGGGUCUUUUAAGUCAGGGGUGAAAUCCUGGAGCUCAACUCCAGAACUGCCUUUGAUACUGAAGAUCUUGAGUUCGGGAGAGGUGAGUGGAACUGCGAGUGUAGAGGUGAAAUUCGUAGAUAUUCGCAAGAACACCAGUGGCGAAGGCGGCUCACUGGCCCGAUACUGACGCUGAUGCACGAAAGCUAGGGGAGCAAACAGG